rnacentral:misc_RNA from 1 species
AUUUAAUAUCUUCUACAUUGAUAUAUACAUAUAGACAUUAGCUAUCAACCAUGAUGGUCAAUACAUAUAUAGUUAGAAUGAUCAAAUGAGUCCAGAGAAAGAUUAUAUACUUUUACAACCAUUUUCUUCAUUUUAAGAUAGAAUAACGAGGACCCAUUAGCAAGCAACUAUUACCAACUGUUGUCUCUGUGUGCGUGUGUGUGU